UAGCCGUAAACGAUACUCGCUAGGUGUCGGCCACGGUGCGACCGUUGUCGGUGCCGUAGGGAAGCCGUGAAGCGAGCCACCUGGGAAGUACGGCCGCAAGGCUGAAACUUAAAGGAAUUGGCGGGGGAGCACCACAACGGGUGGAGCUUGCGGUUUAAUUGGAUUCAACGCCGGAAAUCUUUACCGGGACCGACAGCAACAUGAAGGCCAAGCUGAAGACUUUGCCGGAUUAGCUGAGAGGUGGUGCAUGGCGUAGUCGUGU
rnacentral:rRNA from 1 species